rnacentral:rRNA from 1 species
AUUGAACGCUGGCGGAAUGCUUUACACAUGCAAGUCGAGCGGCAGCGCGGGGCAACCUGGCGGCGAGCGGCGAACGGGUGAGUAAUGUAUCGGAACGUGUCCUGUCGUGGGGGAUAGCCCGGUGAAAACCGGAUUAAUACCGCAUACGAUCGAGAGAUGAAAGUGGGGGACCGCAAGGCCUCACGCGAUAGGAGCGGCCGAUAUCUGAUUAGCUAGUUGGUGGGGUAAAGGCCCACCAAGGCUUCGAUCAGUAGCUGGUCUGAGAGGAUGAUCAGCCACACUGGGACUGAGACACGGCCCAGACUCCUACGGGAGGCAGCAGUGGGGAAUUUUGGACAAUGGGGGCAACCCUGAUCCAGCCAUUCCGCGUAAGUGAAGAAGGCCUUCGGGUUGUAAAGCUCUUUUGUCCGGGAAGAAACGGUUUCACCUAAUACGUGAGACUACUGACGGUACCGGAAGAAUAAGGACCGGCUAACUACGUGCCAGCCGCCGCAGUAAGAC